GAGCUGUUCUGAUGGCCCCAUGGCUACCGCCUAUAUAAGACAAUCAGGACGCAUUGGUUGGACAUUGUAUUAGAUCACAGGCUGAGCAAAUACAAGAUGUGCCGCCGCCGGCUUGUAGAAAACACUAGAUUAGGGAUGGCUUGCGGCCAAAGCAGAGAGUGCUAGCUGUUCAUGGCGCCUUUCUGCACUCGGCGAAGAGAAAUCACCGAUGUCGCUGCUCACGGCUCUGAAGGGAGAUCAAUGGCGUUGUUUCCCACGGAAGCGACGGAAGAUCUCAUCACACCACAUGAUCACCAAAGGACCUCUGCUCUGCACAUACAUCUUCCUUCGAAAUCACGCUGUUGUCAUGUUUUCAGGUCAAGUGUGCUUGGGUAUCAUCUAACAUAUCACAGGACUGAAUUGAUUGGUUUCAUUCUUGGUUUGUCAUGCGGAUGUGUAAUCAUGACUCCUCCUGCUGUUCACGGAAUAGCAGUUGCAGCCGCCCCAUUGCUUCUCUAGAGUUGCAGCCAGGGGGUCUACGCUAGCAAUGUAAAAGAUUUUAUUCAGAUUAAGCAAUAAGUGUGUUAAAUGUUCAUCUAUUUCCAUUAACCUUUCAUCAUUCUCUCUCUGUUACUUUUUGCAAUUUUCUUCCAGUAUUUUUUUCUUAGCACAUGCUUUUGAGUUGAGAAACCUAUUAACUACGCUGCUCAGACCCUAGGAAGAAGUCGGUAGGAUUCUUAAAUUUGUGGCAUCAUUAAAAUCUUAAACUAAUAUUAGUCAUAUGCUCAGGUUGAUUCCUUAUGAAUAGUAGUACGACAUUAACAUUUUAUAUUUUUCAAGUUGGAUAAAAUUGUUGGUGCAAUAUGCGUAUGUUCUUUUACUUUGUUGUGCACCAGAGAAUACGCUUUUUAUACCUCCUGACACCACCUGGUACUGCUACGAUUAUUUGAAAGCCCUCUUAGUAGUAACCUUUUUUCGGCUCAAUAGUCUUUUAGGGGUUUGGCUCUAUAUUCAUUGAUGGUUAGCAAAUCCUCAUUUGUUAAGUUUGUAUUCUUAUAUAAUUUCGUUCUCAGGAUUUAAUUGUGGCUACGUUUAUAGCAAGAACAUUUCAUACCUUACAUGUACUCUUUUUGUUUGGUGUAUAUUAGCAUAUGUUUCCUAUGAUGCUACCCGAUAAACUACUGUCGCAUUGGCCCAAUGUUCAAGCCCCUAUAAUGAGAGCCAUGUAACAAGGAUUUUCAACUUCCAAUGAAAGCUAACAAUGUGAAGCAACGGAGGAUUAUGUCCAAUAAACAAGCAAAGUUGGAAGAAAUCAAGUCCAGAUUCGAUUGACUUUUAAAUCGACCCACUCGCUUUCACUCAAUUUUUUGUAAAUACAUGAUGUGUCCUCUUCGUGAAGUAUAAAUUGAUGAGCUGAAAUCAUGUUAUGUCGAGGAUGAAUGAGUGUCAUAUAUCUAUUCCA